rnacentral:misc_RNA from 1 species
AACCCUUGUGGAGGAGGACGCCGAAGGUGGGGCUAAUGACUGGGGUGAAGUCGUAACAAGGUAGCCGUACCGGAAGGUGCGGCUGGAUCACCUCCUAACAGGGAGACAACAAAAUGUUUAAUAUUAUUAUUUUGUCACCUUAGGUCGAUCGGUAUCUCACGUUUUUAAUUUAUUAAGAAUUUCAUUUCCUAAGUUUUUCUAGGUCACACCCAUUAUUUUUCCUGGGCCAUUAGCUCAGGUGGUUAGAGCGCACCCCUGAUAAGGGUGAGGUCCCUGGUUCAAGUCCAGGAUGGCCCAUAUCUCUAUGUUGGGGGUAUAGCUCAGUUGGUAGAGCGCCUGCUUUGCAAGCAGGAUGUCAGCGGUUCGAGUCCGCUUACCUCCACUGAUUACCACCUCUUCCAUAACCGGUAGAAAGGAAAUGUUUUGAGUUGUGAUCAAAUUCUGAAAGAAUCUAGCUUCCUAAUGAAUUCAUUAAGAUGCUGGACUCAUUGAAUUAAUUUCAUUGUUUUCAGAGAACCUUGACAACUGCAUAGAUUAUUUUUAAAGACAAUAAGCAUCUUUAAUGAUGCAGAUUUAUUAUUUGUGCGAAUGCAUUAAUAACAAUUCUAUUAAGCUGAUGCUUCAAUUUUUGAAGUUAUUGGUCAAGCUACAAAGGGCUCACGGAGGAUACCUAGGCACACAGAGGCGAUG